GCCUACCAUGGUUUUAACGGGUAACGGGGAAUUAGGGUUCGAUUCCGGAGAGGGAGCCUGAGAAACGGCUACCACAUCCAAGGAAGGCAGCAGGCGCGCAAAUUACCCAAUCCCGACACGGGGAGGUAGUGACAAUAAAUAACAAUACAGGGCUACUUACGGGUCUUGUAAUUGGAAUGAGUACAAUUUAAAUCCCUUAACGAGGAACAAUGGAGGGCAAGUCUGGUGCCAGCAAGCCGCGGUAAUUCCAGCUCCAAUAGCGUAUAUUAAAGUUGUUGCAGUUAAAAAGCUCGUAGUUGAAUUUCGGAGUUCUACCGUCGGUCGGGCUACCAAGUCUGUACUGGUGUGUAGAAUUCCUACCUUCUGGGGAACUAUCAUGUUAUUAAUUUAGCGUGGUGGGAAACCAGGACCUUUACCUUGAAAAAAUUAGAGUGUUCAAAGCAGGCUUAUGUCUGAAUACAUUAGCAUGGAAUAAUAGAAUAGGACGGUGGUCCUGUUUUGUUGGUUUCUGAAUCACCGUAAUGAUUAAUAGGGAUAGUUGGGGGCAUUAGUAUUCAAUUGUCAGAGGUGAAAUUCUUGGAUUUAUUGAAGACUAACUUCUGCGAAAGCAUUUGCCAAGGAUGUUUUCAUUAAUCAAGAACGAAAGUUAGGGGAUCGAAGACGAUCAGAUACCGUCGUAGUCUUAACCAUAAACUAUGCCGACUAGGGAUCGGACGAUGUUAAAUUUUAUUGACUCGUUCGGCGCCUUACG
rnacentral:rRNA from 1 species